CCUACGUGUGGCUGCAGUGAGGAAUAUUGGUCAAUGGGCGGAAGCCUGAACCAGCCAAGUAGCGUGCAGGAUGACGGCCCUACGGGUUGUAAACUGCUUUUAUACGGGAAUAACACGCCUUACGUUUAUGGCUUUGCAUGUACCGUAUUAAUAAGGACCGGCUAAUUCCGUGCCAGCAGCCGCGGUAAUACGGAAGGUCCGGCCGUUAUCCGGCUUUAUUGGGUUUAAAGGGAGCGUAGGCCGGUUGUAACGCGUGUUGUGAAAUGUCCGGGCUCAACCCGGGCCUUGCAGCGCGAACUGGGGUGCUUGAGUCCGCGGAAGGCAGGCGGAAUUCGUGGUGUAGCGGUGAAAUGCUUAGAUAUGACGAAGAACCCCGAUUGCGAAGGCAGCUUGCUGCAGCGGAACUGACGCUGAUGCUCGAAAGCGCGGGUAUCGAACAGGAUUAGAUACCCUUGUAGUC
rnacentral:rRNA from 1 species